CGCUCUUUGUAUGAAUAAGGAGUAAUACCUGCCCGGUGAGAUAAUUAAACGGCCGCAGUACCCUGACUGUGCUAAGGUAGCAUAAUAAUUUGCCUUUUAAUUGGUGGCUUGUAUGAAUGGUUUGACGAAGGCAUAGCUGUCUCUAAUAUAUUAUCUAUAAUUUAUCUUUUAGGUUAAAAUUCCUAAAUUGAAUUAAGGGACGAGAAGACCCUAUUGAAUUUUAAAAAAAUAUAUAAAUAAAAUUAUAUUUUUAAAAUUGUUUAUUUAUACAAGAAUUUUGGUUGGGGCAACCUAGGAACAGAAAAAGCUUCUUUAUUAUUAAUAAAACUACUUUUUUUGAUCCAAGAAAUGUUGAUAAUGGGAAUUAAUUACCAUAGGGAUAACAGCGUAAUUUUUCUUGAGAGGGCUAAUCGAAAGAGAAGCUUGCGACCUCGAUGUUGGAUUAGGAUGUUUCUAAAGGGUUGCAGGAGCUUUUAUGAUUGGUCUGUUCGACCAUUAAAAUCCU
rnacentral:rRNA from 1 species